UACGAAGGGGGCUAGCGUUGCUCGGAAUCACUGGGCGUAAAGGGUGCGUAGGCGGGUUUUUAAGUCAGAGGUGAAAUCCUGGAGCUCAACUCCAGAACUGCCUUUGAUACUGAAGAUCUUGAGUCCGGGAGAGGUGAGUGGAACUGCGAGUGUAGAGGUGAAAUUCGUAGAUAUUAGGAAGAACACCAGUGGCGAAGGCGGCUCACUGGUCCGGAACUGACGCUGAGGUGCGAAAGCGUGGGGAGCAAACAGG
rnacentral:rRNA from 1 species